GGGUAGUCCUAGCCGUAAACGAUGCCCACUAGGUGUGGGGGAAUAAUUCCUCCGUGCUGCAGCUAACGCGUUAAGUGGGCCGCCUGGGGAGUAUGCCCGCAAGGGUGAAACUCAAAGGAAUUGACGGGACCCCGCACAAGCGGUGGAGCGUGUGGUUUAAUUGGACGCUAAGCCAAGAACCUUACCAGGGCUUGACAUGCUGGUGGUACCGACCCGAAAGGGGAGGGGCUCACGUCGUAAGGCGUGGGAGCCAGCACAGGUGGUGCACGGUCGUCGUCAGCUCGUGCCGUGAGGUGUUGGGUUAAGUCCCGCAACGAGCGCAACCCCUGCUCUUAGUUGCCAGCGGUUCGGCCGGGCACUCUAAGAGGACUGCCGGCGACGAGCCGGAGGAAGGAGGGGAUGACGUCAGAUACUCGUGCCCUUAUGCCCUGGGCGACACACGCGCUACAAUGGGGUGGGGACAGCGGGGUUGCGACCCCAGCGAUGGGGGAGCUAAUCCCUUAAACCCACCCUCAGUUCGGAUUGCAGGCUGAAACCCGCCU
rnacentral:rRNA from 1 species